UACGUAGGGUGCAAGCGUUGUCCGGAAUUAUUGGGCGUAAAGAGCUCGUAGGCGGCUCGUCACGUCGGCUGUGAAAACCCGGGGCUCAACCCCGGGCCUGCAGUCGAUACGGGCGAGCUAGAGUUCGGCAGGGGAGAGUGGAAUUCCUGGUGUAGCGGUGAAAUGCGCAGAUAUCAGGAGGAACACCGGUGGCGAAGGCGGGUCUCUGGGCCGAAAUUGACGCUGAGGAGCGAAAGCGUGGGGAGCAAACAGG
rnacentral:rRNA from 1 species